UUGAAGACAUUUGUUAGCUAAGAUCCAUAAAACAAAAUAAAAAAGUGAAAAUAUAAUUACAUAUAAAUUGUUUAUUGAAUGGUAGAGAGUUAUUUACCGUAAGGAAAAUAGGAAAGCAGGUUGGUUCUUUUAUCGAUCACAUGCAUAUCUUACCAUUUUCCAUUCCAUCAUUUCUAUCCAAUGGACCCUUCCUCUUUCUUUUCUGUCUCACUUUUCCUCUACCUUCUUCUCAUCCAAAAUCACAUUUCUUUCCUUCAAUAAAGUUCCUCGCCAAAAGUUACAACCCCCUUUACUUCUUGUUAUCACAUGUUCGCCCUCAAUUUGAAAAAUAUUGUUACUAUAUAUAUAUACUCUAAAAAGUUACAUAAUAAUUAUUUUUAAAUAAU
rnacentral:lncRNA from 1 species